CCUACGGGAGGCAGCAGUGGGGGAUAUUGCACAAUGGGGGGAACCCUGAUGCAGCGACGCCGCGUGGGUGAAGGAGUGCUUCGGCAUGUAAAGCCCUAUCGGCAGGGAAGAAGCAAGACGGUACCUGACUAAGAAGCCCCGGCUAACUACGUGCCAGCAGCCGCGGUAAUACGUAGGGGGCGAGCGUUAUCCGGAUUCACUGGGUGUAAAGGGAGCGUAGACGGCGAAGCAAGCCAGAAGUGAAAGCCCGGGGCCCAACCCCGGGACUGCCUUUGGAACUGUGCGGCUAGAGUGCGGGAGGGGCAGGCGGAAUUCCUAGUGUAGCGGUGAAAUGCGUAGAUAUCAGGAGGAACACCAGCGGCGAAGGCGGCCUACUGGACUGCGACUGACGUUGAGGCUCGAAAGCGUGGGGAGCGAACAGGAUUAGAUACCCUUGUAGUC
rnacentral:rRNA from 1 species